rnacentral:siRNA from 1 species
GGAGCUCGUUGUCUUCGUAAAGA